rnacentral:rRNA from 1 species
GACAGAGGGUGCAAACGUUGCUCGGAAUCAUUGGGCGUAAAGCGCGCGUAGGCGGCCCGGUAAGUCCGUUGUGAAAGUCAAAGGCUCAACCUUUGAACGCCGAUGGAUACUGCCGGGCUAGAGUCCGGAAGAGGCGAGUGGAAUUCCUGGUGUAGCGGUGGAAUGCGCAGAUAUCAGGAGGAACACCAAUAGCGAAGGCAGCUCGCUGGGACGGUACUGACGCUGAGGCGCGAAAGCGUGGGGAGCGAACAGG